rfam:Bacillus pumilus SAFR-032, complete genome.
AAACAGGCAAUGACGAGAGAAAGUACAAUCAUCAAUUUUUCCACAGAGAGCUUCGGUAGCUGAAAAGAAGCAAAAAUAAUGAUUCGAAAAAUGGUCUCUGAGCCUCGUACUGAACAUAUCUAUGAUAUUAGUAGGAUACGACGAGAGUUGGUACUCGUUAUCAAAACCACAGUAUAUGAGCCAGAUUGGAGCUUUGUACUUGUAGAGGCUGUUUAGCGCGAGCAAACAGUAAAUAAAGGUGGUACCACGAGACAAAUACCUCGUCCUUAUG